AACGAACGCUGGCGGCAUGCCUAACACAUGCAAGUCGAACGAGACCUUCGGGUCUAGUGGCGCACGGGUGCGUAACGCGUGGGAACCUGCCCUUAGGUUCGGAAUAACUCCCUGAAAGGGGUGCUAAUACCGGAUAAUGUCUUCGGACCAAAGAUUUAUCGCCUUUGGAUGGGCCCGCGUUGGAUUAGCUAGUUGGUAGGGUAAAAGCCUACCAAGGCGACGAUCCAUAGCUGGUCUGAGAGGAUGAUCAGCCACACUGGGACUGAGACACGGCCCAGACUCCUACGGGAGGCAGCAGUGGGGAAUAUUGGACAAUGGGCGAAAGCCUGAUCCAGCAAUGCCGCGUGAGUGAUGAAGGCCUUAGGGUUGUAAAGCUCUUUUACCCGGGAUGAUAAUGACGGUACCGGGAGAAUAAGCUCCGGCUAACUCCGUG
rnacentral:rRNA from 1 species